UACGUAGGUGGCAAGCGUUGUCCGGAAUUACUGGGUGUAAAGCGCGUGUAGGCGGGGGGCCAAGUCUGCUGUGAAAUCGCUCGGCUCAACUGGGCGGGGUCGGUGGAAACUGGUCACCUGGAGGACGGUAGAGGCGAGUGGAAUUCCCGGUGUAGUGGUGAAAUGCGUAGAGAUCGGGAGGAACACCAGUGGCGAAGGCGGCUCGCUGGGCCGGUCCUGACGCUGAGACGCGAAGGCGUGGGGAGCGAACAGG
rnacentral:rRNA from 1 species